GUCCACACCGUAAACGAUGAGAGCUAGUUGUUGGCAGGCAUGCCUGUCGGUGACGCAGCUAACGCAUUAAGCUCUCCGCCUGGGGAGUACGGUCGCAAGAUUAAAACUCAAAGAAAUUGACGGGGGCCCGCACAAGCGGUGGAGCAUGUGGUUUAAUUCGAAGCAACGCGCAGAACCUUACCUACCCUUGACAUACCGAUCGCGGUUUCCAGAGAUGGAUUCCUUCAGUUAGGCUGGAUCGGAUACAGGUGCUGCAUGGCU
rnacentral:rRNA from 1 species